UCUUCAGAUGAACUGAUUUUUGUGCAGAGCACACGUGUUGGAUUCUGCCUGGUGCAGAUUGAUGAGUAUGAUCACUCCAAGCCCAUCCAGGGGCAACAGAAGAAGCCCUUUGAGGUGCACUGGAGGAAGCACACCCUGUCCUAUGUGGACGUCGGCACUGGGAAGGUCACUGUGGAAUAUAGACCCAUAAUUGACAAAACUUUGAACGAGGCUGACUGUGCCACUGUCCCCCCAGCCAUUCACUCCUACUGAUGAGACAAGAUGUGGUGAUGACAGAAUCAGCUUUUGUAAUUAUGUAUAAUAGCUCAUGCAUGUGUCAAUGUCAUAACUGUCUUUAUACGCUUCUGCACUCUGGGGAAGAAGGAGUACAUUGAAGGGGGAUUGGCACCCAGUGGCCGGGGAGCGUGGCACUUACCUUUGUCCCUUGCUUCAUUCUUGUGACAAGAUAAAACUGGGCACAGCUGUUAAAUAAAAUAUAAAUGAACAAACUUUCUUUUAUUUCCAAAUCCAUUUAAAAUAUUUUCCUGUUAUGACUUGUCAUAUUUGUUGACCUAAAAAUCAAAUGUAAUUAUCUUUGUAUUCUGUUACAUCAAAAUCCAGAUAUUUUG
ensembl:lncRNA MUC20-OT1 MUC20 overlapping transcript